rnacentral:rRNA from 1 species
GACAGAGGUGCCGAGCGUUAGGCGGAAUCACUGGGCUUAAAGCGUGUGUAGGCGGCCCGUUAAGUGUCUUGUGAAAUCCCCCGGCUCAACCGGGGAACUGCUGGGCAUACUGGCGGGCUUGGGUCGCUCAGGGGCAGACGGAACAGGCGGUGGAGCGGUGAAAUGCGUAGAUAUCGCCUGGAACGCCGAAGGUGAAAACAGUCUGCCGGGGGCGCAGCCGACGCUGA